AGUGAACGCUGGCGGUAGGCCUAACACAUGCAAGUCGAACGGCAGCACAGUAAGAGCUUGCUCUUACGGGUGGCGAGUGGCGGACGGGUGAGGAAUACAUCGGAAUCUACUUUUUCGUGGGGGAUAACGUAGGGAAACUUACGCUAAUACCGCAUACGACCUACGGGUGAAAGCAGGGGAUCUUCGGACCUUGCGCGAUUGAAUGAGCCGAUGUCGGAUUAGCUAGUUGGCGGGGUAAAGGCCCACCAAGGCAACGAUCCGUAGCUGGUCUGAGAGGAUGAUCGGCCACACUGGAACUGAGACACGGUCCAGACUCCUACGGGAGGCAGCAGUGGGGAAUAUUGGGCAAUGGGCGAAAGCCUGACCCAGCCAUACCGCGUGGGUGAAGAAGGUCUUCGGGUCGUAAAGCCCUGUUGUUGGGAAAGAAAAGAAGCAGAAUAAUAUCUCGCUGUCUUGACGGUACCCAAUGAAUAAGCCCCGGCUAACUACGUG
rnacentral:rRNA from 1 species